CACUCACAAGCAGAGCCACUCUGCCGAGAUUAUUUGUGGGCGCUCGCCUCCAGCUUCACGUUUUAAAUCCAGAUGAGAAGAAGGAAAUUUAAAAUAAAUAAAUAGAAGAACGCAAUCAGAGUGGGAACCGACGAUGGUGGCCGAUAGCAGUCACAUCUCCUGCCCGCGCUGCGCGCUCCGGGAGGGGAUGCGCCUGCGCACUGUGCCGGUCGGUCUCCAUGGCGGGGCCUCGGAGCCAAGACGAGGUUGAAAAACAAUGCUGCUAUGAAGACAUAAUUCUCUCUCUCUCAUAACUGAAGCUACUACUGUCAUGAUUUUAGUGCCACAGAAAGGAUGACCUUCAGUGGACAAGAGGGCCUUUUGGGGGGAGUAGGAUGCUGGAGGCCUGGAGAUAAAUUUGAGCUAGUUCCUGAAGCUCUUAAAUAAUAGAAGAAAAUGGAAUUGAAUAUGAUGUCAGCAUGGAACAGUCUAAUGAUUCAUUAAUAGUCAACCAUAAUGAUUCCGAAGAUUCAAAAACAGAUUCUCAGCAUUCAACCUGUAUCGACUCCAGGGAUCCGUCCUUUGAACAGAAUAGUUCUGGUAGAGUUUUACCCAUCACUCCUCAUGAAGCAGAUAAUUCCCUCACAUCACAGACUGUACCAGGGCCCCUGACUCAGGCACAGGCUCUUUCUGCAGAGCAGUUUCACCUUGUGGACCAAAAUGGACAACCGAUUCCGUAUGAACUUCAGUCAUCGGGGGAUUCUAAUGCACAAAUGAUGAUUGUUGCCAGCUCAUCAGAAAAUGGACAGAUGCUUCGUGUAAUUCCAUCUACUCAGACAGGAAUGACACAAGUGAUCAUACCUCCGGGGCAACUUGUGGAUGUGAAUAGUCCUCAGGAUGCCUCUGAAGAGAAAUCCAGCAACAGAAACUUACCAACUACAAGACUGGGUGCUGUAGCAGACCGUAACAGUAGUUAUAUUCUGCACCCACAAGCAUCCCUCCCUUCGCCCCGAAAGACAGUGACCAGAAUGCCUGAAGAACCAUUUCUGGCUCCUCUCCAGCCACUUUCUUCUAACACACCUAUAUGGGCUUGCCGUCUUAGGAGUUGUGAGAGAAUUGGAGAUUCAUACCGGGGCUACUGUGUAAGUGAGACUGAAUUAGAAAGUGUUUUAACAUUUCACAAGCAGCAAACUCACAGUGUCUGGGGGACUCGCCAAUCUCCAAGCCCAGCCAAGCCAGCUACACGUUUGAUGUGGAAGUCCCAGUAUGUCCCAUAUGAUGGAAUUCCAUUUGUCAAUACAGGGAGCAGAGCCGUGGUAAUGGAGUGCCAGUAUGGGCCAAGGAGAAGAGGUUGCCAGUUAAAAAAGAUCAGUGAGCAGGAAAGCAGGCCUUGUCACCUUUACAAAGCCACUUGUCCAGCCCGAAUUUACAUUAAAAAGGUACAAAAGUUUCCUGAAUAUAGAGUUUCUACAGACCCCAAAGUUGAUAAGAAAAUAAUAAGAAUGGAGCAAGAGAAAGCCUUUAACAUGCUAAAGAAGAACUUGGUAGAUGCUGGUGGUGUUUUUAGGUGGUAUGUACAGUUACCUACACAGCAAGCUCAUCAGUAUCACGAAUUGGAGACUCCUUCUCACCCUUUGUCACCUCCCCCUUUUCCUGUGUCCUCUCUGGAAGAAGAGGAAACUGCAGUUAGGGAUGAGAAUUGUACAUUACCCUCACGUCUGCAUCCUCAAGUAGCACAGAAGAUUCAAGAAUUAGUAUCACAAGGAAUAGAACAAGUGUAUGCAGUAAGGAAACAUCUAAGAAAAUUUGUGGAAAGAGAACUGUUCAAAUCUGAUGAUGUACCUGAAAGACAUAAUCUAUCCUAUUUUCCAACUGUAAAUGAUAUAAGAAACCACAUCCAUGAAGUACAGAAAUCCUUGAGAAAUGGAGAUAAUGUAUAUAACUCAGAGAUUAUUCCAGCAACGCUUCAGUGGACUACAGACAGUGGAAAUAUUCUCAGAGAGGCUGUGACAGUUACAGUUGCAGAAGGAAAUUCACCAGAAGAAUCAUCUACCACCAAAGUGGGAACAAAUCAGACAAGGGGUUCUUUGUCUCCAGAAUCAGCCCAUUUGCUCUCCUCUCCACUUUCUUCAUUUCAGCCGAAAAUAUUCACACAACUACAGGGUUUACAGUUGCAACCAAGAUUCGCUUCUGAUGGAUCACCAGCUCUGAUAUCAGUAGAUGACCACCCCUCCUCUAGUCCUUCAAGACUUCUGGAUUCAAUUCCAAGUACUGUAAUGAAGAAUAAUUCUCUACAGCGUGGUCAAAGUCAUAGCCUUCAAACAGACACAUGCCUUACCCCAAACAAUAGUAUUGCCCCUACCAGGGAUAACCUUCCAGGACCAGAUCAAAAUGUGGCUGCGGCAGAUCAGCUGGUGGAUGCUGGAGAUGCUGAGGAUACAGAGAAUUUGGAAGGAAGUGUUCAUCAGUUUCUGUUGGGAAAUAUACAGGCCAUUCCAAUACAAAUUAUAGACAGCCACCCACCUCUUUUUGAAGAAAACCCAGAAAGUACCAUUUCUGUGAACCAAGUUAAACAGGAACCCAAAGAACCAGCAUUGUCAAUGGAAGCAAAAAAAAAUUUGGGCUGCGAGAAAUUAUCUGCUACAUAAAUUGUUGAAGCUUUUCAGAACUGUACAACUCUGGUGACUUCUGAUGUCAUAGAAAAGAAGGUAGAAACUGGAACUAUCAAUAUUUUCAUGUAAGUAUUUCAAUGAGUAGCUUUUUAAAAAUGGUUUUUAAAUUAGUUUUAAAAAGUUCAUUUGUCCUCUAACUGAAUAUUCAGUCACAAUAUAUCAGUAUUGUAUUUUAAAGGUGCUUAGUAUCACUUUUUUUUAAAAGUAUGUUUACAUAUUUUAAAUAUUCAGUUAUCUUUUAAACGUGCAGGGUAUUGAAUACAAGUCCAUAAAAUUUUCAGCAUCUUUAUUUGGCAUUCUCCUAACAGCUCUGCAGCAAAGUUGGACAAAUGCUCUUUUGUGUCAUGUAUCACAAGGUCCAAUAUCUAUAGUAGUAAGUUGGACAUUCAGAAUAAGUGCUUAGAAAUUCAUAAUUAUAGAUGAGUUUGUUUCUUCAUUGUAGUUUUUUGUUCCAAGUCUCCAAGUGAACUUUAUAUAUAUUACAAUGAAUUAUAGAUAAACACAAGUAUGGUGGACAUUUUUCUAAAUACUGAUUUUCUAUGUAAGCAGUUAAUAUACUUAAAAGAAAAAAUGUGUAUGCUUAUAACAAGUAAAUAUUUUCUAGAAGUUACAAAAGUGAUGGAAAUUAGAUUUUGGGAUAUGGUCCUGCAUUAAAGUUUCUAGUUUUGAAGUUCAUCAGCUUGUAUUUCAUCUUUAAAUUCUGUCAAAGUACAUACUUAAUCAUGUGAGUAUGAGAAAGAUAUUAUAUAAUUUGUACCAGGAUUUUU